AACUCUGGAGAGUCUCAGUAAAUGAGCGCCGAAGGUGUAACACAGGAAGGGUCAGGGAGCGGACAGGCUCCCGGCGGCUUUUUCUGUCUAUCUCUCAGGCAAAAGGACAGGGCUGAA
rnacentral:ncRNA from 2 species